GUAAAAUUAACAUUUUUUUUCGUUUUCUUGAAAAUGUUUUUUUGGAUUUUUGUUUCUCUGGUGUUUUGGUAACUCAUGACAUGUUAACAUGGAAACUAGCAUUCUUGGUGGCUUUACAGAUAGGGCAAGCAUUGAGAAUAGACCCGCAAACGGUGCAAAGGCACAGAUGCCUGCACGGCAAUAGCAACACACACGAUUCCUCCUUCCUACAGUUCCUGCACAGCCUAGUUGUGUCCUUAUUCUGCACCCCACUUGCCAGCAUACACCGCUCCGAUGACCUUUCCCCCUCACCACUGCUGCCACAGCACGAUUGGGCAUCGUCCAUUUCUGCUGCCGUUUUGUCUAAUCCCGUCUAAUCCUGCGCCUCGGGUGCGCUCGUCAACCUGCGCCGCGAGGACUUGUUCUAGGUUGGUCCUUAGAGCAUUGGCUGUUGCCUCGUUGGUUUGGGCAAGGUCUCGCCAUAUUUGGUUCUCUAUGCACAAGGACUUGACCCUCUCUUCCAGUGCCCAAUUCAACUUACCCAUCUUCUCGAUUUCUUCUUCCUUGGCUCUUAGCCUCUUGAGCAUCCCUUCUUCUAUUGCCUCUAUUAUCCUCCUCGCUUGCCUCUUUCUCUUAUCUUCUAACUCCAUCCUCACUUUCUCCAUAUGUUGGGAAAUAAGACGGUCGAUGUCUAGUUGCUGUUGCUCAAUCUGGAGGGAGAAGUCUUGGCCAAGAAAGGAGAAGGGAGAAGCAGUCUUGUUGGGUUGGGGAGUCGGGUAUGAGAGGAGAGGGCUGAUAGAUUCUCUUGGGCGCUUUCUUGGCAUAGGCAGAUUGUAGGUGAGGCCGCUUUCUGAUUUGAUUGGUGUUUUUUUUGAGGGAUUGAAUCUGGGUGAUUACAGAACUGUACAUGGGAAGCUGUGUCUCCGUAGUUGUUGUAGUUCCUGAUAAUGGAAUCCCAUAUCCCAUCUGAGUAUUGUAGAUAUUAGAAUUUGCUUCAACAUGAUUCAUUAUUUCCCUGUUGCCUAGGAGUUGAGGAGGGAAGAGACUGAGAUGCCGGGCUUCUACAGCCAUGGGAAAAUGAAGAAGAUGCGUUGGAUUUGCUUUCUGCUCUCUUUCUUUAAAGGCAGUGUCCUUGUAUGCUUUCCGUUUCGAUUUCUUGGCUAGUGGUUGGUUUUGAAGUUGCUUUGGUUUUUAGAGGUGAAGAGAAGAAAAAGGGGUGGUGAAAUGAACAAAGGGGCAUGCAAUUGAGGUGGCAAGGCCGUAUGGUGGGGUUUAUUUAGGGUUUGGUUUGGUCUAG
rnacentral:misc_RNA from 1 species